rnacentral:rRNA from 1 species
CCUACGGGUGGCUGCAGUAGGGAAUCUUUCACAAUGGGCGAAAGCCUGAUGGAGCAACGCCGCGUGCAGGAUGAAGGCCUUCGGGUUGUAAACUGCUUUUAUAAGCGAGAAAUAUGAUGGUAACUUAUGUAUAAGGAUCGGCUAACUACGUGCCAGCAGCCGCGGUCAUACGUAGGAUCCGAGCAUUAUCCGGAGUGACUGGGUGUAAAGGGAGCGCAGGCGGCACGGCAAGCCUGAUGUGAAAGCCCGCGGCCCAACCGCGGGACUGCAUUGGGAACUACCGGGCUGGAGUGCCGGAGAGGUAGGCGGAAUUCGUAGUGUAGCGGUGAAAUGCGUAGAUAUUAGGAGGAACACCAGUGGCGAAGGCGGCCUACUGGACGGUGACUGACGCUGAGGCUCGAAAGCGUGGGGAGCAAACAGGAUUAGAUACCCGUGUAGUC